rnacentral:tRNA from 1 species
CUUUAAAUAAGCUAUAUAAGCUAUUGGGCUCAUAACCCAAAAAAGGUUUUCCUUUAAAGA